rnacentral:rRNA from 1 species
AUACGGAGGAUGCGAGCGUUAUCCGGAUUUAUUGGGUUUAAAGGAUGCGUAGGCUGUGCGUUAAGUCAGGGGUGAAAUGCCGUCGCUCAACGACGGAGCUGCCCUUGAUACUGGCGUGCUGGAGUACGGAUGCCGUUGGAGGAAUGAGUGGUGUAGCGGUGAAAUGCUUAGAUAUCACUCAGAACACCGAUUGCGAAGGCAUCUGACGAAUCCGUCACUGACGCUGAGGCACGAAAGCGUGGGGAUAGAACAGGAUUAGAUACCCUGGUAUUCCACGCCGUAAACGAUGAUGACUAACCGUCGGCGAUAGACAGCCGGUGGCCAAGCGAAAGCGAUAAGUCAUCCACCUGGGGAGUACGUCGGCAACGAUGAAACUCAAAGGAAUUGACGGGG